rnacentral:lncRNA from 1 species
GGGUCCUCUCCUGCGUCAAAUUUCCGCCUCAUUUCUUCUUCAUAAAGGUCUUCCAGCAAAUAAGCUUCUGCUCUGUCCUUCAGGGCAUUCACAUUGGUUGGUUCCAGCUGCAGAACUUGUGUACAAACUGUUAUGGCUUCUGUAGCCUGCUGAUUCUUUGACAAACAGUGACAGAUCCUUUCUUUGGCACGAGUAGCGUAAACUGGGACAUCUGGCUCAGUUUUCAUUACAGAGUCAUAUUUACUGAUAGCAUCUUCAUAUCUGCCUUCUCUGAUGAAUUCCUCCGCUGACUCAAUCUGCUUAUUGAGUUUCUUUACUUGUUUAUAAAGGGAGAAACACUGCUUAUGGUCUUGGUCAAGCUUCAGACACUCCCGGACUUCACUGAGCGAUAAUUCAUGGUCCCCCAGCUGAUAAUAUAUUCUGCUGAUUUUAUAGAAGGCUUCGGUGUUAUCACUCUUUAAUUUGGCAGCAGCUUUCAAGUCACUAAUUGCUUUGCUUGGCUCCCCUUCCUUUAUAUAACACUCAGCUCGAAGUUCCCGUAGCUCUGCAUCCCAAACACAAACUGCCAAGAUUUCAUCAAGAAGAGGAAUUGCAGCUUCAUAAUCCUCUUGCCGGUAUGCAGACAAUGCUUGUGAAUACAGGCGCUGAAGCUCAUCAGAUUUCGUCAGCUGAGUUUGGGCUUCUUUCUCCUCAUUAUUGCUGGGAUUGGAUUUGAGCACAUUUUUAAAGUCAUCUUCUGCUUCAUCAAAUUUUCCUUGCUUGAGGAGUAGAUGGCCCCUCUGUAAUCUUGCGGAUGUGAAGUCCUGCUUUAAUUCAACCACUUUACUUAAGUCACGAAUUGCUGCUUUAGAUUUGCCCAUGGCUAAGUACACUGUGGCUCUUCUGUAAUAAGCAAUGUAGUUAUCAGAGUCUCCCUCUAUAGCUGCAUGAAAAUGAGACAGGGCAUCUGCUAGUUGUCCAGCAGCCAAUAACUUCUUCCCCAUUUCAAGCUGUUUUUCUACUUCGGCAUUUAUUCCACACUCAGCCCCCUGGUACUGCAGAUCGAGGAGCACCAGCAGGAAGGGCAACGCGGAGCCUAAGCGGCCGGCAGAGGCCGCGGCUGACACCAUCGCCGCCGACGCCCGCGGCCGCAGUGGCGGCGCCCCGGCCCGACGGCUUCGACUCGUGCGGGGAGGGUCGUG